ACGAACGCUGGCGGCAGGCCUAACACAUGCAAGUCGAGCGAGGACUUCGGUUCUAGCGGCGGACGGGUGAGUAACGCGUGGGAAUGUGCCCUUCUCUACGGAAUAGCCCUGGGAAACUGGGAGUAAUACCGUAUACGCCCUAUUGAGGAAAGAUUUAUCGGAGAAGGAUCAGCCCGCGUUGGAUUAGGUAGUUGGUGGGGUAAUGGCCUACCAAGCCGACGAUCCAUAGCUGGUUUGAGAGGAUGAUCAGCCACACUGGGACUGAGACACGGCCCAGACUCCUACGGGAGGCAGCAGUGGGGAAUCUUAGACAAUGGGGGCAACCCUGAUCUAGCCAUGCCGCGUGAGUGAUGAAGGCCUUAGGGUUGUAAAGCUCUUUCAGCUGGGAAGAUAAUGACGGUACCAGCAGAAGAAGCCCCGGCUAACUCCGUG
rnacentral:rRNA from 1 species